rnacentral:rRNA from 1 species
UACGGAAGGGUGCAAGCGUUACUCGGAAUUACUGGGCGUAAAGCGUGCGUAGGUGGUUUGUUAAGUCUGUUGUGAAAGCCCCGGCUCAACUGGGAAUGGCAAUGGAUACUGGCAAGCUAGAGUGCGGUAGAGGGUAGUGGAAUUCCCGGUGUAGCGGUGAAAUGCGUAGAGAUCGGGAGGAACACCAGGUGGCGGAAGGGCGGCCGU